rnacentral:pre_miRNA from 1 species
AAUGAAAUUGCUGGAUCACAUGGUAAUUCUAUGUUUCACUUUUUGAGGAACUGCCAAACUGCUUUCCAUAGUGGCUGCACCAUUUACAUUUUUCACCAGCAAU